CAAAGCGCUAGAAACCUACAAGAAACGCCCAUCUACGGAACGCCAACAUGUACAAAAAGUUACUGUGUCAUUGUACGCACGCGCAGAUAGGAAGUGUCCGGGACUUUGCGAAAACCUGAACACUGAACGGGAGGACCGGAACCCAUGCGACUUUGACUUGUCACCAUAGAGCAGCAUGCAGGGAACCUGUUUAUGUUCAGUAAGGUGGCCAACGUUAUCCUCUUCUUCAGGCUGGACAUCAGACUGGGCUUCCUCUACUUCUUACUGUGCAUUGCAUUCGUCAUGACCUGCAAACCACCACUCUACAUGGGCCCAGAGUACAUCAAGUACUUCAGUGAAAAGACCAUAGACGCCAACGUCAUGACACUGUACUGGACUGGGGUUUGGGAAGAUAGAUGCUGGCCGGUACGGAGAGGUACAAGGUUAGUACCUCCUCUCUGGCCAAGCAGCUCCCUUCAUUGGUGCUUUUCCAGUCAGGGCGGGAGGUCAUGAGGCGUCCAAUGGUGGACAAUAAGUUUUGAGCUGUGUCCUGGACUUUCAGCGAGGAAAACAUCAUACGUGACUUCAACCUGAACGAGCUCUUCGAGGCAUCUAAGAAGAUAAAGGGUCGUGGUGUGAAAGGAGAGGACCAGAACCCCUCACUACCAGACGAGGGCAGCGAAGAGCGCCAACCUGAACCAGACACCCCAGCAGAGAGCAAGAAAGACCAGUAGUGACGAAGGGACAACAGGGACUGGAUUGUUCUACUGCACACAGUUCACUGCUUGUCACACAAUCGCUGUCAGUUAUCACUGGUUGUAUUACCAGAUGACCAGGAUUCAAGUUAAUUCACGAGCUUGGGCUUGUGGAAAAGCUGCUGCACGCAAACCAAAAGGGACAGAAUGAGCUACACUACAUGGCCAAAAGUAUGUGGACACCCGCUCGUUGAAAAAUCUCAAUCCUAAAUCAUGGGCAUUAAAAUUGGAGUUGGUCCCCCUUUGCUGCUAUCAAAUCAAAUGUUAUUUGUCACAUGCACCGAAUACAACAGGUGUAGACCUUACAGUGAAAUGCUUACUUACAAGCCCUUAACCAACAAGAAGUUAAGGAAAAACCUUAAGUUAAAAAAAGUAUAAAUAACACAAUUAAAACAGCAGCAGUAAAAUAGCAAUAGCGAGGCUAUAUACAGGGGGUACCAGUACAGAGUCAAUGUGUGGGGGCACUGGUUAGUCGAGGUAAUAUGAACAGUGGCAAGAAAAAGUAUGUGAACCCUUUGGAAUUAUCUGGAUUUCUGCAUAAAUUGGUCAUAACAUUUGAUCCGAUUCUUCAUUUAAUUUUCUUAAUUAAAAUUAAUAUACAAGGCAUCAAGGCCUAUUUGUGCAAAACAAAUGAACACACCAACACAUCUAUUGUUUAGGAAUGUUUGACCACUAGCUGUUCGAUUAUAUAUUUAUAAAUACACAUUUUGAAUGAACAUUUAUUCAUUUAGUUAAUUUGUUGUUAUAAUUAAAACAGUCUGUGGUUAUUUGCUAUUGGAUUGGCAGAAUGACACAACUACUAACACAUUAGCCUACAGCUGGCCUGAACAUAACUUUUUUUGAAUGCACUUUAAUUCUACAAUGUCACACUUACCGAUGGCGAGGUGAAGCCUGUGCCCAAAGCACUGCAGGCGGGUCCAGUUAUUCAAGCGCAAUGCUUUUUUCAUGUUGCUCCCGAUGACAAUUCCAAAGAGUCUUUGAGACCCUGGGCUAUUACUUCACCCGUAUGAUGAUCGGGGAAGUAUGGAACUCUUACCCCGCUACACUUCUCUGGCGUGGUUACAAUUUGUGAAAGGUUGUGAUUGGUGGAUAACCUCUGUGCACGUGUUGUCACGCAAUUGGGACAUGAUUCGACAUUGGGCUGACAGAGAAGAGACAGUGAGAUGCUGCAUUUGUGAAACGUUACAACAUUAUAACAGAACCUCGAUUCUUGUAAUACAGGCAUUUUCCAUAUCGAGCUAAAACAUAAACUCAAAUAUAUAGAAAAAACUAUAUAUCGCCCAGCCCUAGGUUGAAAGGGCUCUAUGCAGGCCAGUCAAGUUCUUCCACACUGAUCUCGACAAACCAUUCCUGUAUGGAAGUCGCUUUGUGCACAGGGGCAUUGUCAUGCUGAAACAGGAAAGAAGCUUCCCCAAACUGUUGCCAUAAAGGACAGAAUCAUCUAGAAUGUCAUUGUAUGCUGUAGUGUUAAGAUGUCCCUUCACUGGAACUAAGGGGCCUAGCCCAAACCAUGAAAAACAGCCCCAGACCAUUAUUCCUCCUCCACCAAACUUUACAGUUGUCAGUAUGCAUUCAGGCAGGUAGCGUUCUCCUGGCAUCCCCAAACCCAGGUUCGUCUGUCCGACUGCCAGAUGGUGAAGCGUGAUUUAUCACUCCAGAGAACACAUUUCCACUGCUCCAGAAUCCAAUUGUGCAUGGUGAGCUUAGGCUUGUGUGCAGCUGCUUGGCCAUAGAAACCCAUUCAUGAAGCUCCCAACAAAGUUCUUGUGCUGGCAUUGCUUCCAGAGGAGGUUUGGAACUCGGUAGUGAGUGGAGUGUUGCAACCGAGGACAGACGAUUUUUACACGCUUCAGCACUCGCCAGUACCGUUCUGUAGACUUGUGUGGCCUACCACUUGGCGGCUGAGCCGUUGUUGCUCCUAGAUGUUUCCACUUCACAAUAUCAGCACUUACAAUUGACCGGGGCAGCUCUAGCAGGGCAGAAAUUCAACAAACUGACUUGUUGGAAAGGAGGCAUCCUAUGACAAUGCCACAUUAAAAGUCACUGAGCUCUUCAGUAAGGCCAUUCUAGUACCAAUGUUUGUCUACGGAGAUUGCAUGGUUGUGUGCUCGAUUUUAAACACCGCUCAGCAACGGGUGUGGCUGAACUAGCCAAAUAGACACAUUUGGCUAGUUCAUGGAAACAUCUAACCUUCCCAAUUAUCGAUGCCUUAAAUGAUUGAAGUGAAAAUGCCGCCAUCUCACUCAUUCAUCCAUAACACUUUUACUGUGACUGCAGUGAGUUUCUUUUACUUUCACUUUCAUGUUCUGAUGCCUUUUGGGUCACAUUUCACACCAAAGUAUUGAGUCAAACUGACAGUUGGUAGGUAUAAUCUGUUCUGCCAAAAGUGAAAUAAAACUUUUAUCCUCCCAGA